rnacentral:rRNA from 1 species
CUACGGGUGGCUGCAGUGGGGAAUAUUGGACAAUGGGCGCAAGCCUGAUCCAGCAAUGCCGCGUGAGUGAAGACGGCCUUAGGGUUGUAAAACUCUUUCGCUAGGGAAGAUAAUGACUGUACCUAGUAAAGAAGUCCCGGCUAACUCCGUGCCAGCAGCCGCGGUAAUACGGAGGGGACUAGCGUUGUUCGGAAUUACUGGGCAUAAAGAGUUCGUAGGCGGACUGACAAGUUAGAGGUGAAAUCCCAGGGCUCAACCCUGGAACUGCCUUUAAAACUGGCAGUCUAGAGACCGGAAGAGGUUAGGGGAAUACCUAGUGUAGAGGUGAAAUUCGUAGAUAUUAGGUGGAACACCAGUGGCGAAGGCGCCUAACUGGUCCGGUACUGACGCUGAGGAACGAAAGCGUGGGGAGCAAACAGGAUUAGAUACCCGCGUAGUC